rnacentral:lncRNA from 1 species
GGCCGGCGGGGCUGUAAAGCAGGAAUCAGCCUCUGCCUAAUCCGGACCUGGGGUCAAUACGAGCCCAAACAAUGGGUUUUGCACUGUUGCCCAGGCUGGAGUACACUGGUGCAAUCUGGGCUUACUGCAGCCUCCCCCGUGGUUCAAGUGAUUCUCCUGCCUCAGCCUCCCAAGCAGCUGGGAUUACAGUGAACUGGGAUGGAAUACCAGAGAAAGAGAACACGUUGUCAAGACAGUAAAUCAAAAAUAAAAUUACAUCCUGGAAAAAUGACAGAGAUUAUUGCCUCCCUUAAAACUCUGAAGGAUGCAGAAAUAAGGAUCAUUUGUUCAACUCAGCCACUGUGCUGUGAAAAAUGCCAACAUUUCCAAUGAAGAGACCACAUGGAGAAACACGUAGAGAGGAACCAAGGCCCUUAGCUGAUAGCCAGCAUUAGGCAUCAAGCGUGUGAAUGAAUGAAGCUUUAGACGAUUCCUGCUCUCUGUCAGUAAGUCUUCCACUUGUGACCCCAGACAUGGUAGAGGAGAUACAAGCCGUCUUCACUGUGCCUGUUUGGAUUCCUGAGUCACAGAAACUGUGAAAGAUAAGUGAGUAUUGUUGCUUUAAGCCACUAUGUUUUGUGGUAAUUUGUUACUCAGUGAUAGAUAAUGAAUACACUUGUACUUGGUAGACUGGAAUAGUGACUUGUAAUAUAUUUUUUAAAAAAUCAUAGAUUCAUUAGAAAAUUUGAUGAAAACUAAAGUGACCUCCAUGACCCCCAUAUUCUGGUGUUCAUACCCAUGUAUAAUCUCCUUCUCUUAGGUGUGGGCAGGACAUUUGGCUUGUUUAUAACCAAUAGAAUAUGGCAAAAGCUUUGAGCUGUCACUUCAGUGAUUAUGUUACCUUAUAUAAGACUUUCUCUUGCUAGCAGACUCACUCUAGGGUCUUGCUUUCCUGGUUGGUUUUGAUGAACCAAGCUGCCAUGAAUCUUACAACCACAAGGAAAUGAAUUCUGCCAACAGCCAGAGUGAACUUGUAAGCAGACCCCAGUUGAGCCUGAAGAUGAGAACAGAGGCCUAGCUCACACUUUGAUGGCAGUGUCACAGAGAAAAUUGCUAAGCCAUGCAUAGACUUACUGAACCACAUAAACUGUGAGAUAAUAAAUGUAUGUGUUAUUUAAGCCAUUACAAUUGUGCUAAUUUGUUAUACAGCAUAGAAAACUAACACAAAAGUGAUGGAUCCUCUCCAAGAAAAAUGUAGAGACUCACAUAUACAUAGAAUUCUUAUGCAAUAUUUUUGGGUGUUGCUGGACCCCUGAUUUCCAUGAAUGGUGCCUAGUUUAAGAACCACUGCUCUAGAAUGUUUGUCCUGCAGUAACGUGCAGAAGAGUGCAAUGCCUAGAAAAUUUCCUUUGUGAUGUUUUGUAUUAAAUAUUUUAUUUACCUGCUUAAUUGUUCAAUAUCUUAUCACUGAGUAUUUUCCACUUGAAUACUUGCAGAAGAUUGAAUUUCUCUUCUGCAUCUUUGGAGGUAGAUCAUUGGAUCAGCAUCAUAUUAUUUUUCCAGUCAUAGAAGUAAUCCACUCUCAGUCAGUUUCCCCACCUCCCACUCCUCUCUUUCAGGAGAAAAAACUAGGUGGAAGAUCAGCAGACAUCAGUAAACAGUAGACAAACAGGAACAGUAGGUAGAGUGAUGCUAUUGAGUUAAUUAUUGCAUGGAUACUAAUGAAUACAACUCAGUAAAUGGUUUACAUUUUUUUCUAUUUUUCAUUGGCA